GACGAACGCUGGCGGCGUGCUUAACACAUGCAAGUCGAACGCUGAAGCUUGGUGCUUGCACUGGUGGGAUGAGUGGCGAACGGGUGAGUAAUACGUGAGUAACCUGCCCUUGAGUCUGGGAUAAGCCUGGGAAACUGGGUCUAAUACUGGAUACGACAUGUCACCGCAUGGUGGUGUGUGGAAAGGGGUUUAUUGGUUUUGGAUGGGCUCACGGCCUAUCAGCUUGUUGGGGGGGUAAUGGCUCGCCAAGGCGAGGACGGAUAGCCGGCCUGGGAGGUUGAACGCGCCCCCUACUCCUACGGCACGCCGCAGACUCCUACGGUCGGCAGAAGUCGAGAAUCUUACCCAAUGGGGCGGAGUGUGUUGCGGCGACCCUCGGUUAGUGAUGCACGCCUUUGGGUUGUGAACCUCUUUCAGCACGGACGAACCGAAAGUGACGGUACCUGCAGAAGAAGCGCCGGCUAACUACGUG
rnacentral:rRNA from 1 species